AUUGAACGCUGGCGGCAGGCCUAACACAUGCAAGUCGAGCGGAUGAAGAGAGCUUGCUCUCUGAUUUAGCGGCGGACGGGUGAGUAAUGCCUAGGAAUCUGCCCUAGAGUGGGGGAUAACCUGCCGAAAGGCGGGCUAAUACUGCAUGAUCUCUAAGGAGCAAAGGUGUCCUGCACUUGUGCAGGAUUUCGCUUUAGGAUGAGCCUACGUCGGAUUAGCUAGUUGGUAGGGUAAUGGCCUACCAAGGCAACAAUCCGUAGCUGGUCUGAGAGGACGAUCAGCCACACUGGAACUGAGACACGGUCCAGACUCCUACGGGAGGCAGCAGUGGGGAAUAUUGGACAAUGGGGGCAACCCUGAUCCAGCAAUGCCGCGUGUGCGAUGAAGGCCUGCGGGUUGUAAAGCACUUUCGAUGAGGAAGAAAUGCUCAAGUAUAAUACAUUUGAGAGCUGACGUUACUCAUAGAAGAAGCACCGGCAAACUCUGUGCCAGCCGCCGCGGUAAAAC
rnacentral:rRNA from 1 species